GACGAACGCUGGCGGCGCGCUUAACACAUGCAAGUCGAACGGUAAGGCCCUUCGGGGUACACGAGUGGCGAACGGGUGAGUAACACGUGGGUGAUCUGCCCUGCACUUCGGGAUAAGCCUGGGAAACUGGGUCUAAUACCGGAUAGGACCACUGCCUGCAUGGGUGGUGGUGGAAAGCUUUUGCGGUGUGGGAUGGGCCCGCGGCCUAGCAGCUUGUUGGUGGGGUGAUGGCCUACCAAGGCGACGACGGGUAGCCGGCCUGAGAGGGUGACCGGCCACACUGGGACUGAGAUACGGCCCAGACUCCUACGGGAGGCAGCAGUGGGGAAUAUUGCACAAUGGGCGCAAGCCUGGUGCAGCGGCGCCGCGUGAGGGAUGACGGCCUUCGGGUUGUAAACCUCUUUCAGCACCGACGAAGCGCAAGUGACGGUAGGUGCAGAAGAAGGACCGGCCAACUACGUGCCAGCCGCCGCCGUAA
rnacentral:rRNA from 1 species